AACAGAUAGCACAGUUGGAAGCGCAUGGGGUUAAUAUCCCCAAGGUCCCUGGAUCAAGACCAGGUCGUGCUA